UACGUAGGGUGCAAGCGUUAAUCGGAAUUACUGGGCGUAAAGCGUGCGCAGGCGGUUCUAUAAGACCGAUGUGAAAUCCCCGGGCUCAACCUGGGAACUGCAUUUGUGACUGUAGAGCUGGAGUGCGGCAGAGGGGGAUGGAAUUCCGCGUGUAGCAGUGAAAUGCGUAGAUAUGCGGAGGAACACCGAUGGCGAAGGCAAUCCCCUGGGCCUGCACUGACGCUCAUGCACGAAAGCGUGGGGAGCAAACAGG
rnacentral:rRNA from 1 species